CGGACUGGAUGGUGGAGCUGCCAAGCAAGUAGCAGGUUUAAUUUCAGUUUUCGAUAAGUUGAGAGUAAUUUGGAAAGAGAAAAAAGAAAUUAGUUAUUAGUUUUCUGGGUUCUGUCCAAGGAUUUUAGUUUCCUUUGAGAGAAAUUUUCGCCUGCGACGUGCAGGUUGGUUUUUUGAUUGCUGAAAUCCUGUUCAACAUCGGAGGGACGGUUGCUUGAAGAGGAGAACGAUCAACGGAGAAGCACGGUCACACGCACCCCGCCAGGAUCUGCACCGGAGCCGUGCGCCCUCCGUUGGAUUUCAGAUAAGAAAAGACACAGAACAGAGGGAGGACAACUGGACUGGACUGAAUGACUGACGGGAUACAACAAUCUUCUUUUUUUUUUUUAUAUUUCUUUGAUAAGCUCAUGAGCACGGUUAUCUUUUGAGGGGUGGAUGUAUUUGUUUCAUAUUAUUUGUUAUAACUAUUUGGUUUCCCCUGGUGCAGUUUUGAUUGUGAGGUCCGUAAUAAUAUGCAUGUUUUAUUCCUUCUUUUUGUAGGGAAGGGAUUUGGGAAUGAUUGUAUAGAGAACGGACCAGGCUGAGCCUUAGAGAGAAGUUAGCUUAUUGGCAUGUUAUUAAUUAAGCAAAUGGUUGUAGUUCCAAAUGUUUUUUUUUUUUUUUUUUUGUGGUUUCAUUUUACCAAUCAUCCUCCUCCCUGAACCUAGAAAGAAGGGUUAUACAUGUUUGAAUAAAGUCUGUGUGUGUUUACUUAUUUUCA